rnacentral:rRNA from 1 species
GGGGGGCGCGAGACAACUCUCUCUAAGGAACUCGGCAAAAUUACCUCGUAACUUCGGAAGAAGAGGUACCCCUUCACGGGGGUUGCAAUAGAUUGACCCUGGCGACUGUUUACCAAAAACACAGGUCUCCGCUAAUUCGUAAGAAAAAGUAUGGGGGCUGACGCCUGCCCAGUGCCGGAAGGUUAAAGAAGUUGGUUAGUCCUUGGACAAAGCUAGCGACUGAAGCCCCGGUGAACGGCGGCCGUAACGAUAACGGUCCUAAGGUAGCGAAAUUCCUUGUCGGGUAAGUUCCGACCCGCACGAAAGGCGUUACGAUCAGGGUACUGUCUCGGAGAGAGGCUCGGCGAAAUAGACAUGUCUGUGAAGAUGCGGACUACCUGCACCUGGACAGAAAGACCCUAUGAAGCUUUACUGUAUCUUGGAAUUGGGUUUGGUCUUUGCAUGCGCAGGAUAGGUGGGAGGCUUUGAAGAUGAUCUUGCGGGGUCGUUGGAGCCACUGGUGAGAUACCACCCUUGCAAUGAUAAAAUCCUAACUUUGAACCGUUAUCCGGUCAAAGAACAGUUUCAGGUGGGCAGUUUGACUGGGGCGGUCGCCUCCUAAAAGGUAACGGAGGCGUGCAAAGGUUCCCUCAGGCUGGUUGGACAUCAGUCGUAGAGUGUAAAGGCAUAAGGGAGCUUGACUGCGAGACCAACAAGUCGAGCAGAGACGAAAGUCGGCCUUAGUGAUCCGGCGCUUCCGAGUGGAAGGGGCGUCGCUCAACGGAUAAAAGUUACUCUAGGAUAACAGGCUGAUCUCCCCCAAGAGUUCGCAUCGACGGGGAGGUUUGGCACCUGGAUGUCGGCUCAUCGCAUCCUGGGGCGGUAGUACGUCCCAAGGGUUGGGCUGUUCGCCCAUGAAAGCGGUACGCGAGCUGGGUUCAGAACGUCGUGAGACAGUUCGGUCCAUAUCCGGUGCAGGCGUUAGAGUAUUGCGAAGACUCCUCCUUAGUACGAGAGGACCGGGGGGAAUGCACCGCUGGUGUACCAGUUAUCGUGCCAACGGUAAACGCUGGGUAGCCAAGUGCAGUUUGGAUAACUGCUGAAAGCAUCUAAGUAGGAAGCCAGCUUCAAGAUGAGUACUCUCACCGCUUCAAGCGGGUAAGAUCACGGCAAGAACAGCCGUUUGAUAGGCAUCAAGUGUAAGUGCAGUAAUGUAUUCAGCUGAGAUGUACUAAUAGAUCGAGGGC